rnacentral:rRNA from 1 species
ACUGCUCAGUAACACGUGGACAACCUGCCCUUAGGUUGGGUAUAACCCCGGGAAACUGGGGAUAAUACCGGAUAACGCAUAUGUGCUGGAAUGCUUUAUGCGUAAAAUGGAUUCGUCCGCCCAAGGAUGGGUCUGCGGCCUAUCAGGUAGUAGUGGGUGUAAUGUACCUACUAGCCAACAACGGGUACGGGUUGUGAGAGCAAGAGCCCGGAGAUGGAUUCUGAGACAUGAAUCAGGCCCUACGGGGCGCAGCAGGCGCGAAAACUUUACAAUGCGGGAAACCGUGAUAAGGGAACACCGAGUGCCAGCAUCAUAUGCUGGCUGUCCAGAUGUGUAAACUACAUCUGUUAGCAAGGGCCGGGCAAGACCGGUGCCAGCCGCCGCGGUAACACCGGCGGCCCGAGUGGUGACCGUUAUUAUUGGGUCUAAAGGGUCCGUAGCCGGUUUGGUCAGUCCUCCGGGAAAUCUGAUAGCUUAACUGUUAGGCUUUCGGGGGAUACUGCCAGGCUUGGAACCGGGAGAGGUAAGAGGUACUACAGGGGUAGGAGUGAAAUCUUGUAAUCCCUGUGAGACCACCUGUGGCGAAGGCGUCUUACCAGAACGGGUUCGACGGUGAGGGACGAAAGCUGGGGGCACGAACCGGAUUAGAUACCCGGGUAGUCCCAGCCGUAAACUAUGCUCGCUAGGUGUCAGGCAUGGCGCGACCGUGUCUGGUGCCGCAGGGAAGCCGUGAAGCGAGCCACCUGGGAAGUACGGCCGCAAGGCUGAAACUUAAAGGAAUUGGCGGGGGAGCAC